UUCAACUCCACACUGGCCUUACUCUGUAGCUGCUAUCGCAUUCCUUCAUUAGGUAAUCCCGAGCAGGAGAUGGCAUGGAUGCGUCACAUGACUGUGAUUCAGCGUAUUCAUGGAGCGUGCACCACUGCACUAUUGAAAGUUUCUGGCCAGAACGGGAAUGAAUAUGGAAUGGAAAGAAGAGUUUAUAAGUCACUUGUGUGUGUGCGUGUGCGCAGCACUUCCUGACCCGGCUCCCAGCCGCAGCUGGCGUUCCCAGGCCCGGGGAGGAACUCGGCCUCCACAGCAGUCGGAAUCCUCGAGGCUCCCUAACACCACUGACUCUUCACAUCUGGAAUGUUUUUGCAAAGGGAGUGCCUGUUGCAAAAUUGGCCAGGGAGGUUCACCAAGCUUUAUAGUCUAUUUAUAAAGCGGUUUUUUUUGUCUUAAAGCGAGGCCUGGUAUAUAUGUAUUUAUGUGUAAGAAUGCCUAAUCUUUAAUUAAUAAUUGAUGAAGCCUCAUAUGAAAGGUAAUGGGGUUUUGUUUUUAAAUUUAGCUUCAAAUGCUAAAUUAGCAGUGGAGUAAACAUGCAUCAGGAUAGUCUCAUUAUUUUAGAUUCUACUACUCUGAGGUUUGUGUUAAUUGACUGGACCAAUGUGUACCUCCACUCAAUCAGUCAUCUUCUUUAUAGCAGAAAUUAAUAGCAUUCCCAAACAUUUGAGGUUUUAAAAGAACAGCUCUUAAGCUCUGUAAGUACUUUAUAAGCAACUACUGAAAUGCUCAUUAUAAAUUACUCUUAUCUGUUCAUCACAUCUUUUCUUGAGAGGAAUUAGAGUCUCAAGAAGCUGACAAAACCAACUUUCAACUCCGAGUUCUUAGCAUUCUUUGAAAAAAUGAUUUUAUCAGGUUUUUAUCUUCAGCCCAGUCUUCUGGUUUUUGCCUUUUUUUUUUUUUUAAUCUCCUUCCUCACUAGCCAUGUUCUGCUUGGCUGCUCUUUUAAUUUAUUACCCAUGCAGAGUAUAUGACAGCUAGUUUACACUGAUUUGCAGAUGUCAGAUUUUCCUCAGGCAGUUUAGGUUCUUUUGGAGUGUCACAGAGAUCUGCUUUCUAUUUCCUGGGUUAAAAGUAAAAUCAUCAAGAAGGAAAUAGCCCCUUUUAUGACUUUCCUUCAUUACUAGGAAACCUCUCUGGGACCCCUCCUGGUCACACCAGGGGCUAUGCAAGGAAGAACUUCAUCAUCCUGAACCCCAUCCCCUCUCUCUCCGCCCACAAGCUCCCUGAACCUCUGCUUCCUCCAGUGUCUAUACCAUUCCUCCUCAGAAGGGCUCCACAGUUUUAAAUUUUGCUCUUUGAACUUUUUCUUUCCCAAAGUGAACAAACUGUUUUGAGACUAUUCCUCAUCUUGUAUUCAAGAACAAGGAGCUAUGACUUCAGUCAAACUCUUAGAUACAAACUUUUCUCAAUGGAGAAGCAAUUUGAACCUGGGAUUAAAGUCCAGUCUUUGGAAAACUAUAAAUUCAGGAAGAAUGAUUCCCUCCCCUUCUCUUGCUCCCCUGGACAUCUGGCCAUAUGGACUCUAGUGUUCCCCGAGAGCUGUCGGCCACAGCAGAUCACAUCCCCAGCCUUCCUGUGUGCUGGGGGGCUGCCCUGGCCUCCCCUACCUCCCAUCCCAGCUCCACAUGUGGGAGAUCUUCAAGGCCUUUUCCUUUAUGACUCAGCCCAGCCUGCCUUCCCCUGGAACAGUCCUGUAUGCGGACUUCACCAUGCUGUCUAGGUGCUCCACUCACCACCACCUCCUUCAUAUUCUUACAGGUGAGAUAGAGGAGGAGGAGAUGGACAGAAUCACCGAGGUGCCUGCGAACUGCUCUGUGCUGAGGAGCUCCAUGUGCUCGCUGUCCCCUUUCCGGAGGCACAGCUGGGGUCCUGGGAAGAACGUGGCCAGUGAUGCUGAAAUGAACCAGCGCAGUUCAUUGCGAGUUCUUGGGGAUGUUGUCAGGAGACCUCCCAUUCAUAGGAGAAGUAUGAGCUGGUGUCCCUUUGGUGUGCAAUACUCUGCUGCCCCGAGUGCUGACUUUAAUUACAGAAGUUUCAUCCUAGAAGGCUUGACAGGAGGAGCUGGUGGUCGGAAACAAGCCAUCUUCAUCCCUAGAUAUAAACUCCAUAAACACCAAAGAACUCAGACACCCUUUCAAUGGUGAAGAAAGGGGUGACUCUUUGGUGUCACUUUCAGAAGAGGAUCUGGAAUCAGGCCAGAGAGAACAUAGGAUGCUUGAUCAGCAGGCAUGACACAGAUCUAAACAACAGGGAUUCAAUUACUGUACAUCAGCCAUUUCUUCUCCAUUAACGAAAUCCAUCUCAUUAAUGACAAUCAGCCAUCCAGUGUUGGACCAUUCUCGGCCUUUCCACAGCACCAGUGCCAAUCUGACUGAGAGCAUAACAGAAGAGACCUAUAGUUUCCUGCCACAAAGCCCCUCUAAGAAAGAUUUUGAAGGGAAGAGUGGAACAAAAGUCAGUUGUACAUUCAGCUAUAUCAAGAAUAAAAUGUCCAGCAGUAAGAAGAGCAGAGAAAAGGAAAAAAAGA